UAAAUACAGUUUUUCUCCUAAGGAAAUAAAGCACUACAAGCUGUGUGACUUGGGUACUUAGAGGAUUAUUUUCAUCUUGCAAUGCAUGUGAGAGUCAUUCAUUUUAUCAAUAUUUUAAGAAGAAAUAUUUUAAAAGAGUUUAUUAAAAAAGAAAGGUGUUAACAAAAGGUUUUGGGACUGCUUUCCUCUAGCCCAGGUAACAUUUUUGAAGAUGUUUUGGGUAAUGAAGCCCCUCAUGCUUGGCAAUACUAGUAGGAUUUUUAAUGAGUAUUCAGUCCCUAAAGGUAAUUUGGUCUGUCCAUUUUUUAAUCAUGGGAACAAAAUUAUUUCAACCCUUAUCUAUCAUCUGUUGUGUAUUUAGGAAGCAAUGUGUGCCUUAUGGUCCCUGUUCUUCAAUGUCAGCAGUGUAGUAUUAAAGGCAGUAGAGAGUAAACCCCAAUUGAGAGCAAAGAGAACAAACAUAGAGUGAUAGUGUGUCAUUUGUCUGUUUGAUUACAGUUAUAUUGGAGUAUAAAUUUACAUUACCAGUAAGAUACCAGCAUAAAACUAGGCCAAAAGAAUCAGCUUAAGGAGAAAGAGAAAGUUUUUUUUCUUUAUACUUAGACUUUGUGGCACUUCCAGUUUCUCCUUCUGUGCCUCAUGUGCUAUUGCCACAUUUCCCUCUUCUUUUAUUUUUUUCUUCAUUCUUCCAUUGUCACAUUUUCCACGGCAAUCAGUGAACUCCACAAUGUAAUUGAAGAUCCUAUUACAUCUCCAUUAAAGAAAAACCCCAGCAACCAACUUCAGCCAUGUCACACUUAUCUUCCUUUCAGUAAUGAACAUGUGCUUCUCUACUUCACUCUUGCACAACGUGGGGAAAAAGAGGAAAAGAAAAGGGGGAAGAGUAAGGUGUUAAUGAGUAAUCAGACCAGACUACUACCACCAUCACUAAGAAAGAAAUCAAUGUAUAACUUUAACUGUCAAAAGAAGUUUGCAAAGAGCUGUUGCAAUAACCAAGGAUUCAUGAUAUUCAACCACUGAGAUGUGUUCAUAGAAAGAGACUUUCCACUUGGAGGAUUUUCUCUCUGGAGACAGACUUGCCAAAGAUACCCUAUAGAAACCUCGGGGGCUUGUCAACAAUGGGGGAAUUUUUAUGAUAUAAUGGCUGGUGACUGGGAAAGGCUUUUAUUGAUUUCUGUAUCUGUUUGUAAAGGAAAAAAUGGCAAGUGAGUUUAUGACAGUAGAUAAUAAAAUAUUACUAGAUAGAUAGGAGAAAGAGCAACAUGGAAACAGCACCUCCUAUUAGUGAUGAGAAUGGUAGUCAGGUAAGUAACAAUGGGAGUGGAAAACAGGUAGUGCUAGUCCCAACAGUGUCAGCAGGAACAAGAGACUGCUUUUUAAUUCAGGGAACCUAUGGGACAAAAUGGAGGCAUUUAGUGAAUUCAUUCAGAAUAUAUAGUAUUAUACUACUGUAAAAAACCCCAGCGUAGUGGAAUAAUGUUUGUGACAGAUGUGUUGAAGGUUUUGCAUAGUUCAGGGAAGAAAAAUGGGAGAGAGAAAAGUAUGCAAAAUCCAGAAUAGAUAUGAGUUGAUGAUUGAUUCUAAGUGAGAAGAAUUCUAGGCAAAAGCACAGCUGUAAUUGAGGUUGUCAGUUUUAAUAGGACAUAUUUUGAUACAUAGGAGGAUAUGAAUGGGGAGGCACUGGGAUUUCUUUGAGUCAGAAGAGGAAAAUCUAUUAAAAUGUAUAUAUAAAGUGUGGGAAAGGGGAGGGAAACUUUUCAAAGACCUCUAAAAAUAAUGAGAAAAAGAUCAUUUCUAGAAGAAUGCAGGAUUUAAGAAAAAGAGCCUCCAAAGAGUAGAACAAAUGGAUUGAUGAAGAAAAUUAUCAUAUUUUGGAGAUCAAGAAAUACAGGGGUGAAAUCAGAUUUGACAAAAGUUAAACAAAGUUAGGUUCUACAAAGCUUAUAAAAAAAAAUCAGGUAUAUUAUAAUCUAUAUGAAUAAAAAGAAUAAUAAAAUCAGGGGCAUGGUCAAUCAAAUUGAAAAUUGGAAUAUUAUACAGAGAGAACCGGAUUAUCUUCAAAACUCAAAUUUAUAAAACUAUACAAUAUAUUCCUGGUGACAGGUAACCACAACUUUCAUUAAAAACUGGAUGGAUGAUCUGGAAGAAAUGACAGAGAAGGACCUGCUAUACAUCUGAGAACGGCUGUGAGAGACCAACCAGACACAAGAGUGAAGAAAAGUCAGAUGUGAUUGUAGAAAGUCCAGCAAGGUAUUUUCAAUGGAAGAAUAUUCAUACUAUUGCAGAACAUUGAGAUCUCACUUGGGAAGCCAUGUACGAUGUGAGUCACCCAUUCAAGAAAGAUGGGGGAUGGAGAGAUGCAGAGGGCCUAGAAGGGAAUGGCAAAUAUGUACUAGAAGAAGAAAAGUGCUUGACAGGCUUAAACAAAAGAGAGACUGACAAUAAUAUAUAUAUGUAUUAAAAAUGUGUCAGAAGUGUGAAUA